rnacentral:lncRNA from 1 species
GGUAUUAUAGUGAGUGUGAUAAAAUGUGACAGUCAUACUUUAUGAAUAUGAAAAUAUUAUUACAUUUACUUAGAAGUGUAAGCACCAAAAGGCAUAUAAGUGCACUAAUUGAGAGAAGAAAACACACUACCACGAUGAUAAGGUGGGUAGAGGUAUGAACAUCAACGUCAAAUAUAAGCCAUCUUGUUUAGAGAUUUUCUGUUAAGUUCUUAAAAAAAAAUGUCGAUGGAAGAAGAGACAGAGUUGCAGAUUUGUUUGAAACUUCAUGACUUUCUAUGUUGGGUUGUUGACCUAAGUGGCAUUGAUCUUCUUAUGUCAUUUACCAAAGUACUCACUAAUCUCCUCAACGACUUAAU